UGUGUGUAUGCGUGUGUGUGUGUAUGUGUAUGCUUGUGCAUGUGUGUGUAUUGAUAAAUGUGGUAUACUAUUCGAAAUACAACUCUGAAAGGAAAAAAAAAAAAUUUCUCCAUCGAUUUGAUUCUGCUGAGUAUUGGAUAUUUGAUGUUAGAUGCUGUUGCAACGCUAAACUUUUCAACUAUUAGUUUUUCAGGAUAUUCAAAACAUUUUCAAUAUAUGCAAGUUGAGGUAAAACAGUUAUCAUUAAUUAGCGGUUAAAAAAUCGAGUAGAUACAAUUAAAAAUAUUUUGCUCUUACUACCAACAGACACUAUUUUGUCCGAAUACAGCAUGAAUGGUCUAAAGAAGAAAAAAAAAGUUUAAAGAAUUGACAAGUCUAUGUAAUGCUGAAACUGCUUUAAAGUCAAAUAAAUCCAAAAUGGAUGCCAUCCAUCCAACUUAUUGGGAGAGUAAUUAGGAAUUCUUCUGAUCGAUUAAAGAAAACAUCCACUAAUAUGAAUAUCGAUCAAUGAUCGGCUUAAUUAGCUGUUGUAUUUUUUAUUUAAUUUUCAUUUUUCAGCAAUUUUCUUCUAUUUAUAAUGCACUAUCGAUUAUAUUCUACAGUACCUAAUAGUUUUUA